rnacentral:rRNA from 1 species
UACGGAGGGUGCGAGCGUUGUCCGGAAUCACUGGGCGUAAAGGGCGCGUAGGCGGUCUGCUAAGCGUGCGGUGAAAGCCUGGGGCUCAACCCCAGGUCUGCCGUGCGAACUGGUGGACUAGAGCACUGUAGAGGCAGGUGGAAUUCCGGGUGUAGCGGUGGAAUGCGUAGAGAUCCGGAGGAACACCAAUGGCGAAGGCAGCUCGCUGGGACGUGACUGACGCUGAGACGCGAAAGCGUGGGGAGCAAACAGG